rnacentral:tRNA from 1 species
GCCUGACUGGCUCAGCUAGUAGAGCAUGUGACUCUUGAUCUCAGGUUGUGAGUUCAAGUCCCACGUUGGGUG